CAGAUGCGCACUGAGCACCCACCAUGCUCAGGGCCUGCUUCUCACGGGGUUUAUUAUUAAAGAACCCUAAGAAGCUCCUGACAUCCACAAGAACAUUCUCCAUGAAGUCCCUCGACCACACGUUGUGGCAAAGAGAGCAUUCCCUGGACUGGCGAGGCGGCGUGCUGUCUGGGGCUGUCUGAGACUGUCUGGGACAAUGGCUCUGGCAGCGGCCUCUGUGGCCGGCAGGUUGUGCCACAAGACAGGUUGGUCUUGUGAGACGCUGCUCGUCUGGGACCUGAGUGGCCUCUGGACAGUCCCCAGGAGCACCUGGAGAGUCAGACCGGGCCUCACCUCUUGCCUCCCCUUUUGAAGUCUGGGGACAGAGUGGAGCCCCGCUGUUCCGCAUGGGAAGCGUGAGUGUUGAAAGAUCAGAACCUUUAUGUCAGUUUUACACAAAUAAUUUUUCCAUCAGGUAAAAUGACAAACGACACCACUGCAAGUGUGGCAGUGACAGAAUUUAAAAUGCCUACUCUGAAAGGCAGGAGCCUGCAGUUGCAGAAUCACCGUGAUUCUCCCAGGCAGGGUCAAGAAUUCUAGCUCUUAGAAGUUUGCCGCCUGCAAAUUCCUAAAUCCCCUGCAAGGUAAGAGAGGGACUGGCGGAGCCUGAAGAACGAAGUUACAUGUUAAUACCUCCAUAGGCCUCGUGACCAACAAAAAAGGACUGAAAGUGAAAAAGCGAAUCCUGUGUUUGAAGACCUUUGUAUAUUCAAGUUGUCUUUUCCUUCGUUUCAUUUUCUUUCAUUUUAACUUUCACAAAAGUCGCUAUUUAUUACUCAUGCACAUAAAUAUCUCUACUCCUGACUCAAGCUGGCAACCUAUGGAGAUUUAGGGUAUUCACGACCCCCAGCAAACAGCAGCGCUCAGCGGAGCAGCUGUCUCUGAAUGGAGCUGAUGUCUGGGAGUGCUGCACUCCGAUGAGCCAAUGGAAGUCUCUAUCAUCUUGAAUCUUCACUGUGUUAACUGUGAAGUGCCUGAAUCUGGGGGGACUGGGCCCUCACAGCCGCCAGGUGAGGGGGACCCUCUUCCCUCUCCUCUGGGUGAAGAGGUCCCAGCUCACACAAGUCACCCCUGGUAAGAGGCAGAGUCCACAGCAGGACCUGGGUAGAAGCCAAAGGCAACACUCCCUACCCCACACAUGGGUUCCUCUCAAGUAAAUCACCAGCGGGGCGAGGUGCACACAGCGUCUAGGAAGACAGGACAAACUGUUGUCACCUCCUUCAGCCAGGAGGCCCCACACGGAGCGCCACUGCCUCCACUAUCUGAUGCCACAGGGCAGACGUCAUGUGCUGGUUAAGGGAGGAGAAACUGCGGAUCAUUUUCCAUCUUAUUGGAAAUCACUCUCUGACACUUUUUCCUCAUCCUCACUAAGUACCCACCGAGUAUACCAGCAACAGUGUAAAAUAAACACAGCUUAAAGAAGUAGGAACCCUUUAUUCCUGGGACUUAAAAGCUUGACUAUCCACGGCAUUGAGUUGACAGAGAAGAGCUUGAAUCAUCAACAUGGCGUGAGUGACCACAUCCCUCACUCUGAGCCCCACUCCACAGCAGAUGACUCUGAAUCGCCCCGGCUAACGGCGUGCCCAGCAUCCUGAUGCUCUGAUUAGUCCUGAAUCACCCGAGGGCGGGCGGUGCGGUGGCUGGGCUGUCUCAGAGGGCAUCGCGGGCUGGGUGGACGAGGCUGGCCCAGAAGAGGGCAACAAGCAUUUGACAGGGAGUGGCAGGCUACCAUCUUGCCUCUUCUGCAGUUUGCGACACUUAGGGUCAUGAGUGUUUUUCCUCACACUAAGGAAGGAGACCACUACUCCUCCUGAUGCCCUCCUUCCCCCCACCUUGCCUAGUUCACAAAACAGGAAGAGAGAAAAAGCAAAAAGUUGGAAAAAAACAAAAGUAAGAUAAAUAGCCAGAUAACCUUGGCACCACCACCCGGCCCUAGGAGUUAAAAAAAGUGAUAAUAAUAACAUCAACCCCUGACCUAAACUACUUGUGUAAAUUCCAGACACUGUAUGAAAAAAGCAUUGUAAAACUUUCUGUUCUGUUAGCUGAUGCCUGUAGCCCCCAGUCACGUUUCCCACGCUUGCUUGAUGUACUACGACCCUUUCACGUGGACCCCUUAAAGUUGUAUGCCUUUAAAAAGGCCAAGAAUUUCUUUUUCAGGGAGCUCAGCUCUUAAGACUCAAGUCUGCCAAUGCUCCUGGCUGAAUAAAAACCUCUUCCUUCUUUAAUCCGGUGUUUGAGGAGUUUUGUCUGCGGCUUGUCCUGCUACAAUACAGUGGCCCGAAAGGCAAGGAAACUCCCGCAAGCGUUCAGAAAGGCUGCGGGUUUUUCAGGUAACAUUUCUGCAGCCACUGAUGUCUGACCCAAAGAGCUCUGAAUGCUUGCCAGAGAGAUGUGUAGUUCUAAUCCCAAAGCCCUGAAUGUUCUGAUUUCCUCAUUAAGACUGACUUAACAUGAGCUAUUUAGUCAGCUGAGUUAUCAACUGAAGAAAGUAACCGGUGUUUCCCACUUAUUUUCUUCUGUGGUUGUUUGAAAACAGCCGUGGUGUGGACAGAGUUCAUGCAGCCUUGAUGGUGGUGUGUCCCCAGCUCCACGCACGCACUAAACCUUUAAUUCAUUUCAGCAUAAAUAAGUUAAUGAAUAUGCAUACAUGAAUAAAUUAACUGGCAUAGUUUUAGUCCUAUUGAAGUUUUAAACUCACCAAUUUAUCCAACUUCUCUGCACUGAGUUUUUAUUCAAGUGAACUAUUCCAGUCUUGUGACUUCUGAUAUAAUAAUAGUAACGACUAAUAUUUAUUAGAACUUUAGUUUACCAAGCACUCCACAUUUUAUUUUUACAUUUUGUCUUCACAAACCCCCAUGAGACAGGCAUUCUCACCACUCGCAGUGUUGAUUGGCAUGCAGAGGCUCAGGGGUUUAAAUGGUUUCACUGAAGCAAUGUGAUCCGGUAGGAUGUUGCUUUCCUAUUCCUCCUAAUACCACCGUGUUCAGACAUGGGCAGCCGAGUGAGAAUAGAUCAUUUCAUGUGUGUGUAUAGACGUAACCUACACUCACAGGCGGAAAGCUGUGCAGGCUGAGAAGUGAAGCCCUCGGCUGAAUGACCAACAACAGCGUUCUAGGACCCCUUGUCCUUGCUCCGCAGGCUACACCCCUCACAUCUCCUCUGAACCAGAAAGAAAACUCUGCGGUUGCUUCUCCCUUUGACAGUCAGCCACAGUUCUCUUCAAUGUUCUCCUGGGGACUUGGGUCAAUGUUCUCCCGUCAAAUCUUAGCCAGGCCCAAGAUUACUGUGCCCCCCACCCCCCGCAGAUCUGUCAGGACACACUACUGCCCCAGAUGUAUUUGGUCGCCCCAUCUGUGUCCUAUCUGCCGUCCGUGCCUCUGGCCAGGCUUCUUGUGAGGUCCUGACUCACGCUGUCACUCUCAGGUUGUUUGCCUGUGGCUGGACACAUUGUUCAUAGGAGCCCAGCUGGCAAAGCAAAAAUACCUGAGACUGUGAUGGCAAGCUGCUUGUUCCCUGCAUCCUUGGCUGGCGAGAAGCUGAAGAGAAGUGAAAGCUCUACCUGUGAAGAGGCAGCAUUGCAGAAGGGAGGAGGUGGAGAUUCUGUCCUCAGUGCCUAGGGCCCUGCCUGGAUCUGGUUUUGCAGAGGGGAGGACGUAGAGAUUCUGUCCUCAGUGCCCAGGGCCCUGCCUGGAUCUGGUUUUGCAGAGGGGAGGACGUAGAGAUUCUGUCCUCAGCGCCCAGGGCCCUGCCUGGAUCUGGUUUUGCAGCUCCAGGGGAAACGUUUUGCACAAAUUCUCACUGGGAGCAUUAUCAGGGCUGCAGCACUUCAGUCUCUCCUGAUCUGAAUCCUUUUAACAUUAGCUGUGAUGCUGAGAAGGAUGAAAUUGAUGACACCAACAUCUGGUGGAAGACAAAAACCAGAGGGAUUUCCACCCAGGCAGAGCCCCUCCGCAGGCCUCCCCUCUUUGUGGCCUGAGGUCGGAGAGGCCUCUGGAGCAAGCCAGCGGAUGGAAUUCUCAGUUUUCUUCCAUUUGAUUAUUUUCCUAUUUUGACGUCUUUGAAAAAUGGCUCAGCCUUAUGGUGCAUGCGUUUUCUGAUUGCUUUUGUCUUUGUUUUAUUCUGAAUCAAGGACCGUGGCCACUGUGGGCUCCUCAUCCAGGACGUGGGGGCCCUCCGGGGCCUCAGUCCAUCCAUGCUGCAGUACAUGGUGAUUCUCAUGCAGAGGAUGAUCUCAGGGAUCAGCUUGAGCUGGCAGAGAAUUAAAUUAUAUGGUUUAUAAGAGUCCUGCCUCAGGGUCAGUGACACCAGGCCUGUCUCUGCUGCUAGCAAGGCCGACUUUCUUAUGUGCUGUCAUCGUGGUAAAAGCCUUGCCCACGUGAUGAAGACCCUGGACGGCUCUACUUGAGACAGAUUUCAGCUACGUUGCCUGGGAGUCUCUGGUACUUCUUCAAGGUUCUACUGAAGACAAUGACGUCAUCCAAGUACCUUGCAGUGCCUAAGUAGCUCUUGCCGCGGGAGCUCUGAGACCCCCUGUUAUCUAUUUUCGAAUUGGCCAAGGACCCCCGGCCAGGCAGGGGAUGCUCUGCCCAUCCUCGUCAGCCCUCGUGUCUUGUGAUCCUCCCCCAGCCUCCUGGCAAGCAUCCCUGUGCUUUCCGCGGGUGAGCGUGGCUGAGCUCAGUCUCGCUUACUACAACGGCAGGCACGAGGUCUGCGGAACUAAGAAGGCUCCUCUUUGCUCACUGGCCUUUCCUUUAAGUCCCUGGUCACUAACCUCUGGCAAGACAAUCCUUCUUGUGUUUUCUGGCGAUGGACUUGAGUGAUUACAAUGUGCCCUAGAGAGGACAGAUGCAUGGCUGUGGAGUCUUGUUCUGUGAUAUGUCAGGUAUGUGCUUGGGCGCGCGGAGGCUGCAGGAGGUGGACAGGAAUGGUCUUUCUCUUGCUCUGAGUCGCAUGUGUGGGCCAGCCCACGGGUUCUGUGGAGGAGAAUCCAGCUGCCCACCUGGCUGAGUCUAGCCCUGGGCUGGCGAUGGCCGAACCCCAGUUCCAUUCCCGGACCUUCCCUAGGCUGCUGGGUGGGUUCCCUGGCCACUGUCGCUGGGCUAAUCCAUUCUAUCUUCUCCUGGGGCGAGGCCAUUGCCGUGCUGUGCUGGUGCUGGCUCUUCAGGCAGCUCUUCAGCUCCGUGGCUCCCGGCCCAGCCCAGGCCUAACACAGGCCUGUCCCUAGUGUUCGUGCACUGAGCUUUGUGUCUAUUGCUGGUUUUUCUUUUCUUUUAAAACUUACUUCGCAGAAGGAAUUCGGCCUGAGCAGCUGAGCUUCCGUGGUAGCCUCUCCUGCUCAAAGCCGUCGUUUGCUCCCAUAUACCUGGCCUGCCAGUUUCCAUUCUCUCUUUCCCUUGUUUCAUCUUUUCUGCAGUAGGUCCUCUAGUUUCAACCACAGGUGUUUACAGUGUUGCAGUUUUAAUUUGUCGUUGUUGCAUUUAGUUUACUUGACGCACGUUCAAAACUGCAAAAUGCUGGUUCCUACCCGUCUCUGAUGUCACCAAAGGCUGCCCAGAGGCCUGCAGCACAUUGACGAUGGUCUUAGUAUUACACAGCUGUCUGACCAGUACCACAAAUCCAGAGUCCAAGCAGCUCAGGUUUGCCUUCUCCCUGUCUGUGUGGGUCCAGCGCCCUGGGCUCAGCAGGGCCUCCUGCUCCUGCUCCUGUAGGGUGGGCUGGGCCUUCCCACACGGGCCUGGGGAGGAGCCUCUCCUAGGUGCUGGCAGGGCCCUGGCCUUUACUUAUUCCCUCUGAUGCCAGCCAGCUACUGCAGCCCUGGUGGCGUCUCCCUGGGGGUGCCCGGGUGCAGGUGUCCGCUGCCGGGCCGUGGGUGUCUCAUUCUGUGUCCGGACCUCUCUGUGAUGUGAACCUUGGGCUUUUUUUUUUUUUUUUUUUUUUUUUCAGAUGUUAAGGGAGUCCACCACAUGUUUCCAUGGUAACGGCUCCUUUUCCUGGUUUACUGGAGGGUUCUGACGGUCAAGGCCUCCUGUGUAUUGACUGGGUUAUCGCCUGGGGGUUUUAUUGCUUUGUCUUUUACAUUUAGUUUUACUGUUCCUGGAACUGAAUUUGUUUGUGAUGUGAGUCAGAAAUCCUGUCACAUUUUUCCACGUGGAUAUCCAGGGCCCCCGCCGUUUGUGGGAAGGCCGCACCUUCUGCCCGCUCUGCUGUCCAUCCGCGUGCCCAUCUCCAUGGGUUUCUCUCUGCACGGCUUGUUCUGUCCUGCAUGUCCAUCCUUGAGAUCGUUUUUCUCUGGCUUAAUGAUUACAGCUGUACGGUGAGUCUACAGUUAUUCCAAGUUUAUUUAGACAAGAUUUUCUUAACCUUGUAAAUUAUUCUAGGGUUUUUUAUAUUAUUAUUAAACCCAUAGGACUCUUUGGUGAAAACUGACAUAGUUAAAAUGGUUGAGUCUUUCAGUUCAAUUAGGUCUUUCUUUUCUGUAAUAUUUUCUGGACUUCUCCAUUCAAGUCUCAUGCAUUUUUUUGUUAGGAGUGUUGCUAAGAUUUAACUUUUCUAACCCACUGUAAAAGUGUUACCAGGGGGUCCUUGCUCCCAGAACUCCUAAGAUGGUGGCAGGUCGCUUCCAAAAUGGCGGCGGCCCACUUCCAAGAUGGUGGCAAGCCUACUGUUCUCUGACCUGGGGUUCUUGGCCUCACGGAUUCCAAGGAAUGGAAUCUUGGGCCAUCCGGUGAGUGUUACAGCUCUAUUAGAAGCCGUGGGUCACGGAAGAGAACCAUGGAACCCAGUGACUAGUGUUCAGCUCAAUUAGGACGAACUGAGGCACUUAGCCAUGCAGAAACAAUGGCAAGACCUUAGCCUGAUCCAUCGGGAGUGGCAAUGGGCGCCUCGCUGGAUCAGGAGCACAGCGGACACCCUGCCGGCUCUGGAGAGAUGGAAGUCAGCGGCGGGUCUACGACGGCAGCAAACAGCAGUGGUGGAGGGCGAGCGAAAGCUCAGCUCCAGCCGUAACAAACACGGACCAGAAGAGUGCAGUUGCAAGAUUUAAUAGAGUGAAAUAGAGUGAAAACAGAGCUCCCAUACAAAGGAAGGGGACCCAAAGAGGGUAGCCAUUGCCAGCUCCAAUGCCUGGGUUUAUAUCCCAAUCACUGUCCCUCCCGCUGUGCUCUCAGGCAGUAGAUGAUUGGCUAUUUCUUUACCUCCUGUUUUUGCCUUAUUAGCAUUUUAGUGAGCUCUGUGAUUGGUCAGGUGUGAGCUAAGUUGCAAGCCUGGUGUUUAAAGGUGGAUGUGGUCACCUUCUCAGCUAGGCUUAGGGAUUCUUAGCCUAGGAAAUCCAGCUAGUCCUGUCUCUCAAAAGUAUCUUUUACAUUUUAUUUUCUAAUUGUUUAUUGCUUGUAUGUUAAAAUAAAGUGAAUAUUUAUGUUGAUUUUUAUUCAGCAUCUUGUUAAAAUUCAGUUGACUUUACAAAUUCAUUUUCAUACUUUAUUGUAUACUUUAUAUAUACAAUCAUGUGAUCUGUGUAUAAAGGUGGGUUUUUAUAUUUCUCUCCAAUUCUUACACAUUUUCUGUUGUUCCAGUUUCAUUUUCAUGGCUGGGAUCUGCAGGACGAGCUUACAUAUAGGUCCUUGCUGAUUUUUUUGCCUGCCUUUUCCAUUAGUUCCUGAGACAAGCAUUUUAAAACCAAACAACAUAACUGAGGAGCUGUCUGUCACCCUUCGUGAUUCUGAAAACACGUGCUGCAUGUGUUUUGAGGUUGUUAUUUGGAGCAUGUGCAUUUACAAUUGUCUUACUGCCUUUGCAGUUUGAGUUUUUAUUAAAUGUUUCUCUUCAUCUCUGGUCAUGCUUUAUGCCGUAGAGUCUGUUAUUAGCAGAGCUACUCCAGGUUUAUUUUUCAUGAUAUUAUUUUCACUUCUUUUUACUUUCCAACUUUUAUAUCAUUAUGUUGAAGGUAUCUCUUUUGUUAAUCACAUAGUUGCAUUGUGUUUUCUUUUUUCAAAUAUGUAUGAGCAGCAUAAAAUUGGAUGUUCCUUUGAAACAACAGCAGUCAGAAGUCCAUGAGGAGGUGUCUUCUGACUGCGAGGAUAAGGGUGGAUCACCUUAAUGCAAUCAGGGAAUGAUGUGUUAGAAGCAUCUAUAGUUCCUGCUUCCCCUAAUUUCUAGCUGUAGCCAUUUGAAGAUUCUAAGCAAGUCCUCAACUGUUCAGCAGAGCCUCUGGUCCAGCAUGAGACCAAAACCCAGGAGCUGGUCUCGCCCUUGGCCCUCCUAACUCUCCAGCGUGUCCAGCCUGACUGGGAGAAACGUCCUGUUCAGGUGUUUGGUUGUCUAAGUGCUUCCCGCGGGGACGCCGGGCCUGAGCCUCUGUGAGAAGGGGAGAUCCCUGUGCAGUGUGGACCAACUUCUUUCCCUUUUCCAGGCUCCCAGUUUCUCCGCCUGUGCUGAGACCUUGUUUCCCAGGACCUCGGUGGACUUGGCUUUCAUGACUGGUGCCUCACCCCAGCACAUGUGCCUAAAAUAACAGAAAAAUACAGUGCCUGCAUGUUGGGAGCAAGCCCCCCAAAGUCUGGCCCCAAAACUGGCCAUAAAUAAAAUCUCUGCAGCAAUGUAACAUGUCCAUAAUGGCCAUAAAGCCCAAGCUGGAAGGUUGUGGGUUUACAGGAAUGACGGUAAGGAACACCUGGCCCGCUCAGGGCGGAAAACUGGUUAAAGGCAUUUUUAAGCCAUAAACAAUUAGCCUGAGCGAUCUGUGCCUUAAGGGCGUGUUCCUGCUGCAAUUAAUUCAGCCCAUCCCUUCGUUUCCCUUAAGGGAUACUUUCAGUUAAUUUAAUAUCCAUAGAAACAAUGCUAAUGACUGGUUUGCUGUUAAUAAAUAUGUGGGUAAAUCUCUGUUCGGGGCUCUCAGCUCUGAAGGCUGUGAGACCCCUGAUAUCCCACUUUACACCUCUGUAU
rnacentral:lncRNA from 1 species